GGGCCAGAAAUAUUCAGGUUGACUGGGAGUUUCCCCCUCUCUCCUCCUCCACCCCUAAAAGCAAGAUAGGAGUUGUAAGAAAACUGGUUUCAAAACUAAUAAGAAUAAUAAUCGACAAUAUUGUGAUUUAAGUUUUACAAAGCACUGCACACACACACACACACACACACACACACACACACACACACACACACACACUACAAUCUUAACAAUCCCAUGAAGUAGAGUAUUGUUAUUUCCAUUUUAUAGAUGAGGAAAUUGAGGUUGAGAGGUCAUGUGGCUUGUCAGGGACACACCUAGUAAGUACCCAAGUUAGGAUUUGACAUGAGAUUUUCUUGACUCCAAGCUCUAUGAAGUUCACUAUCCGCCACUUCCCUAGCUACUUACUCUAUGCUUUCCAACUGGUGUUGACAUGGAUGGAGAGGAGAAACUUGAUUCUUGCCAAAAUCUGACUUCAUGCUAGGUUGGGAUGGAAAACCAGAAAUCCUUCUUAGGUUGCAGACCUCAAGCCUUCCUUCCAAAAAUUGAGCAAUGAUGAGAGGAUUAAAAACCAGAAAGUCACCUGUGAUUAAACUUCAAAAUUUUUCCUUUUAAGGUGUAUUAACUGAUGGAAGUAUGGAAAGUUGGCACGUUUCAUGAAGGUUAGGGAGGGAGAUUGGAUUGGGUGAGGUUUAUGCAUGUAUGUGUGGGUGUCUCACUGAUAAACUUCCUUUUGGCUGUAGGAUGUCAAGGGAAAACGGAAUAUGGAGAGUUUUGAUUUUAAAGUGCUGAAAGACCAGACUUUGAGAGAUGAAUUACUGGACGCAAGAAGAGUUAACUGACUUGCCCAAGAUCACAAACCUAGAAAGUGUCAGAGAUCACAUUUGAACUCAGGUCUUCUCGACUACAAUUCUGCUACUCCAGCCACUGCACCGCCUAGCUGCCCGGGUUCUUGUGGUCAGUGCCAAAAGAUGGUUUUCUCUUGUUGUUCAUUCAACUAAUCAGAGCACCCCAACUCUACGCCUGCUGUAUUUCCUGAAUUAAAUAAAUCUUUCCAGAUAAGAUAGGUGACCUGAGCACUUAUUUCAAGCUCAAACUCCACUGGGAUGAGUUCAGGAAAGUUCAGCAGCUAUAACGUUGCCCAAGACAGAGUUUCUCAAUGUUGAACUUGUGCCCUUCUGGGGACUGGCCAAACCUCCUAAUGGAAGUACUGUAUACUUCUCUUGGGCUAGUUCACUAAAAAUGAAACUCCUAUCAUAAGAGAUUUAAGCCAGUUUUGUACAGCCAAGAAGUUCAAAGAGUCUGGAUGUAUUUCCAAGUUUUAUCAGAAUUUCCGAGUCGUUGGAAAUUAUUCAUUGUGUUACCACUUUUCCACUGCUUAGAAGGUCUUGCACAGAUUGCGAAUAUGGAGAAUUUGUCUCUGAAAAAAGCUGCAAGUGGAAUAUUCCCCAAGGAUGGCUCCCUUGAUGGAUAAACACAUGAACUUCAUUUGCCUCGCUCUGCAGAAGAACUUUCAAAUAAGCCAGGCUAAAUCUCCCAUGGACUAUGUCUAACAGGCUGCCUGCCUCAAUUCUCAGAUGAGGAGAACAUGUGCUCCGCUUCCUCCCCCACUCUCCCCCCUCCUCCUUUUUUUAAUCAAAUGCAUUACAACAUGUGAGCAGCACCAUGACUCUGGAGUGCUUGGUUUCUCCAGAUGCUUUUGGCUGCCUGGCUUUGGAGUCCAUUUACUAGGAAAUGGAGCAGGGUUUUGAGAAAAGGGGUAUUUCCCAGGUCUCUCUCUUUCUCAGGAGUCAUGGCAGACUUUUCCCUUAAAGGGAAAGGGGACCAAAGAGUAAUUCCUCUGGUUCCAUGUAGAAAGAAGAAUCCCUCCAGUGUAGAAUUAACAAAAAAGUAACACUUCACAUAACCAGAACCCAGUGUUCUUGUGACCUCACGUACUAUAUAAACCAUAGCUAAAAACCAGAAAGUAAAUUAAAAUGGGGACACGAAAUAGAUGUUACCAAGUCCAUUUGCUUCUCUGAAAGUAAGCAGUUGUCCUAUGGGCCCGUUAAAAAUAAAACUGUAGAAAAGAGCAUUUAAACUGCAUUGGCACAAGCAAAAUGACAUGCAGAACGGAGGUAAUCGUCUGGAAAAUUCAUGUUUCUUUUUAAAAAAGAUUUCUCAGAAUUGGUUAAAUAGUUAGAUAUUUAAAGCAAGUUGUUCCCCCCCCCCCAUAGCUAUAUAAUCCAUAUAACUGAGCACUUUGGUCUCUGAAUAAUGAACUAUAUUUCCAUUGUGCAAAACAAUCUUGUGAGAUAGGUAAUGCAAGUAUUAUUAUUUAUAUGAUCGAGUAGUAUCGUUUUAUAGAGAGGAAAAUUGCAGCGUAGAGACAGAGGUUUGUUCCCUGAAAAAAAAAUGCAAGACCCACUUAAGUAUAAUCUACACGAUUAACAUUUUCUCUGUCACUUUCUUACGUGCAGACAAUCACAAAGUCAAUCAAUCCCUGAUUUGGAAUAUUUUCAGAUUUCCAAGGUGCAAAUGCUUAUAUGAUGAAGAUUAUAUGCCCUCAAUGAGAGGACGAUCGCACUCCAAAUCCAGUACUCCUUUCAUUAUACCACCAAGGAUACAAAGAAGUUUAAGGCAUCCUUGUUGUCCUCAAGUUAUGGAUAAGGUGGUUUAAGAGACAAGGGGCAUGCCUGAAAAAGGAUUUUAUUCCAUGAACUAAAGGCUGAAGUGCUGGUAGCAUUUGAGGUGCUGGUCAGGACCUACAAGAGGACUUUGAGGAUGUGAGGUUCUUCUUGGUACCCCUUAAACAUCACCAUCCAUGCAGAACACCAGCUCUGAUUACAAAAUAAAUCUCAACUGUUCAAGCUAAUUCAGAAAAGCUGCUGUGCAGAGGUGAUGGAUCAAUAUUAAACUUUUGAAAAAUUG